UGUUUUUGAAACGCGAAAACUGUCAUGGCCGCAAUGUAUGUGUGCGUCUGUUGCUGUUGCUGUCCAAAUGCAUAAUUUUGACUCCGGUCUUAAGUUAAACAUGUAUCAACUACAAUAUUGGCCGUGCCUGCAUGGUAGUCGCUGCCUUCUCUGCGACAUCGUGGAUAUUGGUGGAUUACGCUUGUCCUGUGAAUGUACAGCGCACUUGCAAACUCAGUCACCGCCUGCAGCCCAUCGGUCGCAACUGGAUUAUUUUGUACUUCUCCAUUACAUAAGGGGGAUUCUCUCAUCGACCAGAUGCGGAGAGUCAAGACCUAGGCAAGAGAGCAGGGGAAGGGUCGAGCAGAACUGGCAUCACUGCGGUUCUCAGCCCUGUCCUGUGCAUGCACGGGGAGGACCCGCACAUUUCAGGGGAGGGGGCGGACUGGUUGCCUUCACGUGUCUGAAGCCAGCCACACCCUCCCCGCCUGAAGAGCCUGACUUGAAUGACCACUGUUCCUAGUCAUGCAGAUACUUAUACCGACUGGGCGGAGUUGUCGGGUAGUUGAUUUCGAAGGUUUUAUUCACAUUUUACCAAAAAUAAAAAGAUUUCCAAGACUA